rnacentral:lncRNA from 1 species
ACCCCCACCCCCCAACAAUGCUUAAGAAAACAAAUUUUCUUCUGCAGCUAUAUUGAAGCAAAAAAUAAAGGAAUAGAGAAUACUUUCAUCAGCUCGACUGGUCAUGAAUGAGACAUUGCUGAAACUGAAUUUUACAAGAAAAGUUCAAGAAAUAAAGUCAAGACGGCUUUCUAUGUAGAGGAAUUGUCACAACACAUGUCAUGAAGGUGUGCAGUGAGGAAGGAACCGUAAGGACUCUGUUGGAAGGUGCAGAGGAUGAGGUCAGAGCAUCUCAGACAAAAGACUUCCUGUUUCCGGCCUAAGAGCAGGUAGUUCCUGUCUGCAAGAAGAAGAGGAAGGGAACUGAGGUGUGACUGCUUUUCAUGUAGGUUUUCUUUUUUUUUUUCUUUUAAAGAUUUUUACUUAUUUUAUUUGAAAGG